rnacentral:lncRNA from 1 species
GAUAUGAUCAUCCGAUGGGUGGUCUCACAAUUCCUUGCAGUGAAGACACCUUCCUUGAUCUCACUUCCCGCCUAAAUGUGUGAAGGAGCAGUAUUUGAAGUGGAUUUUGGAUCCGAAACCUCCUCAUUUCGAAACUCACUGGCACUGCUGAGUCAAGAUGAAGACAAGUUUAUGCUUGAUCAUCCAACUGAAUGGACUCACACCGGUUCAAGAAAAACUUUGUGAUCCCUGAAGCUGCAUUAAGCUGAGCAGGAAGAUACAAAAUUUUUGAAGCAGACAAAUGACGAUAUCAUAUGAGCACUCUAUAACAAUUGGUCCAAAGAGGACCCAAUUUUGAACUCACAGUAUUCUGUGUUUCAAUCCCUUGUAAACAUCUUUGUUGCUAUCAAGAAAAGUAUGGGAAUAUAUCUCAAAUCCUCAUCAACUUUCUUAUCUUUUAUUAUUCACUUGCUCUGAGGCCUGAUUGCCACAGCAUCCCAAAACCUAACAUUGUGAUGGUUAAAUGUAUAUUCACUUAUAUGUCAUGACUAUACUUCUGGCAAAUAAAACUGAUGAUUAUUUCUCACUACACCUUGAAACUCCUCUAAAAGUUGCCCAAUGUGUAACAUGCACUUAUCAUUUGACAUCAAGUGAUAUCUUACUAAUACAGGAGAUGAACUGCAAAAGACAAGCAAGAAGGACUUUCUUAAAAAUUUAUUUCUUGCUAAAGGGAGCUGCAAGAAUAACAACGACAAGUAUGUAAAUCUUGAAAACAACCUGAUCGAAGUCAAAGGUGCAGCCCUCCAUACAUCUAGUUUGCAAAGAAUAUGCAAAAACCAGUAAAAUCAUUACUAAAGUAAAUUUAUUUUUACAAGAACAUUCCAUAUCAAUUUGCAACUUGAAGGGUAGAGGCAGUGAAAAAAGGACUAAAUGGUGAUCUUUUAAAGGACUUAAAAAAUAAAUAUUAAGAAAGUACUUGAUGCCUCUGUUAUUGUAAAGAAGCAACAGAAUACAAACAACCGACAAGGGCUUCAUGUUUCUCUUGUGUAAACAAUAGUACGUCAACUUAAACUGUAAACAAUUACCUCAAAUAUGAAGAGGGGAAAAGGAAGAUAACAAACAGUGAAGAAAUGCAGGAGAAUUUUUUUGCAGUAAAAAACAACAGAAUAUAGAAAACCGAGGUGCAUGGAAAGAGUUAACAUCUUUCCCUGAGAAUUAACUAGCAGGGAAAUGGUACCCCGAAUUCCAUGACCGACUGCAGGCUCUAAAAAACAUUGGAACUCUAUUCUGAAAUUUUGUACUUUAAUACACUGCUGGGAAAUCCUGGGAGAGAAACACCUUUUCUUAAUUGCAGUAAAGAUUCUCAACAUCUGUGAAAGUUUAUGAUCUACUAGUUAACACUUGGACAAGAUUGCUAUUUGUCCUAUAAUAUAACACACAUUAUGAGUAGGCUUAUUCUAAUACAUGCAAAUAAAGAGGUAAGAUUUUAAGAAGGUUCAUUUGAGGCAUAAAACCAAGGUUUUGAUGCUUUUCGAAUAAAAUAAUUUGUUCUGUGAAAGAUAGAGAGACGGGGCAAACAUACUUGAAAAGUGUCAACCAUGUUUUAGAGUUUGUGAUCUUCUUAUGUGGUUGGAACAGUUAAAUUUAAAUUCGUAACUUCAAAGCUUUGUGCAAGUUUAUACGUUUGUAAAUGGCUUAACCUAAUCAUGAAUACAUUAAUUUAUCAUCACUAGAUUUCAACAAAUAGCUGCAACGGAUAUUCAAAUAUUUAGAUCAAUACCUGAGUUGUUAGCUCAUCAUGGCUGAUCAUCAAUUGACUUCCCUUGAUUGACUAGACAAAAUGAAAUACUUCCUCGGUUGGAAUUGGAGAUCAUAGAUAUCAUACAUGAAGCAGCAAGACCACAUGCUAGGCUGGAUUAGUG